CACGUAGGGCGCAAGCGUUGUCCGGAAUUAUUGGGCGUAAAGAGCUCGUAGGCGGUCUGUUGCGUCCGCUGUGAAAACUCGGGGCUUAACCCCGAGCCUGCAGUGGAUACGGGCAGACUAGAGGUAGGUAGGGGAGAAUGGAAUUCCCGGUGUAGCGGUGAAAUGCGUAGAGAUCCGGAGGAACACCAGUGGCGAAGGCGGCAUCCUGGCUCUGUCCUGACGCUCAGGGGCGAAAGCGUGGGGAGCAAACAGG
rnacentral:rRNA from 1 species